AUGAGGGCCACUGUGUCCACUAACGCCUUCAGGAGACGGGCACAUUUUCAGUGGCUUGACAGUGUCGCUACAUGGAGAAGGUUUUCUGCAUCAUACAAAAAAGAAUUCUACACCAUGUACACCGUAGACACCUGCCGUGAAUGUGGAAUGUUUUACAAAAACUGCACACCUGGUAAACAUCUUACACUGGAUGGUCUUGAUUCUAUGAUAUGUUGGAAC